rfam:Natrialba asiatica DSM 12278 contig_30, whole genome shotgun sequence.
GGUGGGGUGGCAGAGCGGCCUAUUGCGCCUGCCUUGAAAGCAGGUGGCGUCAGCCUCUUGGGUUCAAAUCCCAACCCCACCG